UACGGGGGGAGCAAGCGUUGUUCGGAUUUACUGGGCGUAAAGGGCGCGUAGGCGGUCAGCACAAGUCAGUUGUGAAAUCUCCGGGCUUAACUCGGAAAGGUCAACUGAUACUGUGCGACUAGAGUGCAGAAGGGGCAACUGGAAUUCUCGGUGUAGCGGUGAAAUGCGUAGAUAUCGAGAGGAACACCUGCGGCGAAGGCGGGUUGCUGGGCUGAUACUGACGCUGAGGCGCGAAAGCCAGGGGAGCAAACGGG
rnacentral:rRNA from 1 species